rnacentral:rRNA from 1 species
UACGUAGGGGGCGAGCGUUGUCCGAAUUUACUGGGCGUAAAGCGCGCGUAGGCGGACUUUUAAGUCGGGGGUGAAAUCUCAGGGCUCAACCCUGAAACUGCCUCCGAAACUGGAAGUCUUGAGGCAUGGAGAGGGAAGUGGAAUUCCUGGUGUAGCGGUGAAAUGCGUAGAUAUCAGGAGGAACACCCGUGGCGAAGGCGGCUUCCUGGUCAUGUCCUGACGCUGAGGUGCGAAAGCCAGGGGAG